rnacentral:rRNA from 1 species
CAUGUGGUUCAAUUCGACGCAACGCGAAGAACCUUACCUGGGCUCGAAGCGCAGUGGACCGGGGUGGAAACAUCCCUUUCUCGCAAGAGACCGCUGCGGAGGUGCUGCAUGGCUGUCGUCAGCUCGUGUCGUGAGAUGUUGGGUUAAGUCCCGCAACGAGCGCAACCCUUAUCUCUAGUUGCUAACAGGUUAAGCUGAGCACUCUAGCGAAACCGCCCCGGAUAACGGGGAGGAAGGUGGGGAUGACGUCAAGUCCUCAUGGCCUUUAUGUCCAGGGCUACACACGUGCUACAAUGGCCGGUACAAACCGUCGCAAACCCGCGAGGGGGAGCUAAUCGGAAAAAGCCGGCCCCAGUUCGGAUCGUAGUCUGCAACUCGACUACGUGAAGCUGGAAUCGCUAGUAGUCGCGGAUCAGCACGCCGCGGUGAAUACGUUCCCGGGCCUUGUACACACCGCCCGUCACAUCACGAAAGUGGACUGCACUAGAAGCCGGUGGGCU